rnacentral:rRNA from 1 species
UACGUAGGGUGCGAGCGUUAAUCGGAAUUACUGGGCGUAAAGCGUGCGCAGGCGGUUUUGCAAGCCGGAUGUGAAAUCCCCGGGCUUAACCUGGGAAUGGCAUUUGGGACUGCAAGGCUGGAGUGCGGCAGAGGAGACUGGAAUUCCUGGUGUGAGCAGUGAAAUGCGUAGAUAUCAGGAGGAACACCGAUGGCGAAGGCAGGUCUCUGGGCUGACACUGACGCUCAUGCACGAAAGCGUGGGGAGCAAACAGG